AUGGGGUGAGGGAGUGCGGAUGGCUCGGCACACGCCUUCACCGCUGCCCCGGCAACCCAAGCCCCUAGUGAAGCCAUGAGGAAAGCACACAGCCCUGGAAGACAGAGGAGCCAGAUUCCAAUCCCAGCUCUGCCCCUCGCCCAUCAUGCCACCUCGGACAGGUCUCUCCACUCCUCUGGGCCUCGGUUUCCUCAUCUGGAAAAACGGGGCGGCAAUACCCGUCCUGCCUCCCUCAGACGAAACCGUGGAGGAGGUAAAUUGAGGAGGAAGAGACUCCGACGUUGCUCGGGAGCAAAAGCAGAGCUCGGUGCUGGCAGCCCGUGAUUGUUGUACUAACGCCCGACUUAGACCUGGGAAGGAGACCCCUGAAGUGUGGAGCCCCGACUCCUAAAGAGCCCCCAAUACACACACUUCUUCAUUGGAAUUCAAUGUUUGGCAGCCCCGAACACCCUGAGCUAACCGCCGUAAAUCCUGGCCCGCCUCAGUCUUCGGCCCGCAGCGUCCCAAGUUUUUCUCUUAAAAAAACUC